GCAGUUGCUUAACCAACUGAGCCACCUAGGCGCCCCGGCAUAUCAAGUUCUUGAUUGAUUUUUGUCCCUUACUGUUUGUCAUUGGAGAUGUCGAAGGGAC